rnacentral:rRNA from 1 species
UCGAGAAUCUUCCGCAAUGGGCGAAAGCCUGACGGAGCAAUGCCGCGUGCAGGAUGAAGGCCUUCGGGUCGUAAACUGCUGUCACCGGGGAUGAAUAAUGACAGUACCCGGGGAGGAAGUCACGGCUAACUACGUGCCAGCAGCCGCGGUAAUACGUAGGUGACGAGCGUUGUUCGGAUUUAUUGGGCGUAAAGGGUUCGUAGGAUGUUUAUUAAGAUUGGUGUGAAAUCCCAAGGCUCAACCUUGGAACUGCAUUGAUUACUGAUGAACUAGAGUAUCGUAGAGGAAAGUGGAAUUCCAGGUGUAGCGGUGGAAUGCGUAGAUAUCUGGAAGAACACCGACAGCGAAGGCAACUUUCUGGGCGAUAACUGACUCUGAGGAACGAAAGCAUGGGGAGCAAACA